AUGAACACGUUCAAGAGCUACAUUGGAGAUCCUGGAUCAAAAAAUAUAGUGCUCAGCCCCCUCUGCCCUGAGAGGGGCAUGGUCGUCAUCCCACCAUACCCACGACACAAACUCCAGGAUGGCUAUUUCUGCACUUUCAGUGAACUCUUUCUCAAAGAACGCGGCAACGACUUGUCCUACUUUUGUGUGUUGAUGGAAUCUUCUAAGGAGCGAACAAAAUCUACGGUCCACAUGUAUAUGUUGCAAGAUGGUGUCUGGUGUGUGCAUGCCUCGGCAACGAUGCAGCUCCCUUUUCUGCCACAGAAACUGAAUCCUCUGCUUGUUGGCAAUAAAAUCUAUAUGGCGGCCACCCCGAGCGAAAUUAUUGUCUUGGAUUUGACAGCCUUAAGUUUCUCCACAUUUCAGCUUCCACAAGGGCUUGUUAUAAGUGACAGACGAACCAUGUUGUCAAGGGCAGAUGAUGAUUCUGGCGUGUAUCUCAUUCAUUUGAACGAGUUUCAGCUCCGCAUAUGGCUACACACAGGGGAGAACUGUUUGCUGAUGGAUACCAUAUGUUUGCGUGAGAUGUGUGCUAAAUGGAGGGUGCCUGAUCACACACAUGAGGUGUCAAUGAAGCACGUGGGGCGCAAUGCUGAGUUUGUUUUCUUGGAGAUGGGUCCAUGCCUGCUCUAUUUGGGUAUCAAGUGCAGGACGCUGUGUAAAGUGUAUGAGAGGACAAAUGAGAUUCCAUGGUUGGGUUUUAUCCAUCCGUAUAUGAUGAUCUGGCCUCCCACAUUCCCUGUGCUCAAGGAUGAUCCUGCAAGUAAUGCGACAGGAAGAGGAGGAAGGUCGAGGAUCAAAGAAGCGUGA
rnacentral:rRNA from 1 species